rnacentral:misc_RNA from 1 species
AGCAGCCGCGGUAAUUCCAGCUCCAAUAGCGUAUAUUAAAGUUGUUGCAGUUAAAAAGCUCGUAGUUGAAUUUCGGGAUCAAAGGAUCGGUCAUGCCUUGGUAUGUACUGGUUUUAUUGGUUCUCACCUUCUAAAGAACCAUAAUGUCAUUCAUUUGAUGUUAUGGGGAAUUAGGACUGUUACCUUGAAAAAUUAGAGUGUUUAAAGCAGGCUUACGCUUGAAUACAUUAGCAUGGAAUAAUGAAAUAGGACAUCAGAUUCUAUUUUGUUGGUUUCUAGGAUCGAUGUAAUGAUUAAUAGGGAUAGUUGGGGGCAUUAGUAUUCAAUUGUCAGAGGUGAAAUUCUUGGAUUUAUUGAAGACUAACUACUGCGAAAGCAUUUGCCAAGGAUGUUUUCAUUAAUCAAGAACGAAAGUUAGGGGAUCGAAGACGAUCAGAUACCGUCGUAGUCUUAACCAUAAACUAUGCCGACUAGGGAUCGGAUGAUGUUAAUUUAUAAUGACUCAUUCGG